UACAGAGGGGGCAAGCGUUGUUCGGAAUUACUGGGCGUAAAGGGCGCGUAGGCGGCCCGCUAAGUCGAACGUGAAAUCCCCGAGCUCAACUCGGGAACUGCGUCCGAUACUGGCGGGCUUGAAUCCGGGAGAGGGAUGCGGAAUUCCAGGUGUAGCGGUGAAAUGCGUAGAUAUCUGGAGGAACACCAAUGGCGAAGGCAGCUCGCUGGGACGUGACUGACGCUGAGACGCGAAAGCGUGGGGAGCAAACAGG
rnacentral:rRNA from 1 species